rfam:Brassica napus, WGS project CCCW01000000 data, contig: 659
AAGCCAUGGUGAAGACACUGUGAUACAUAUGCAUUGAAUCAGUCCCAAGCUUCUCCAAACCCUUCAAGAUUCUUCUGCUGGAAACCGGAUAUCUCAUUCCUAAGCUU